rnacentral:lncRNA from 1 species
CUUGCAAUUCGAUUUCAGCUAUGCAGGGAAGGGAGACAAUAGCAUUUUCUUCUCUUUAUUCAGGCUGAUUCCUUUUUAAACCAUAUUAAAAUGCAUCAGAACUGCCAGCCAUUAUAAAGCUCUGAGAUACCAAGCAAAUGAGAUUAACACUGUAGGAUGCACAAAACAAGCAUGUAGCUGGAAGACUGGUCAGCUACUACUGCCAACUUUGAUGGAGUCUUUGUGGAAACCUGGGAGCCCGAUCCUGGAGAGUGCUUC